rnacentral:rRNA from 1 species
GACGAACGCUGGCGGCGUGCUUAACACAUGCAAGUCGAACGGAAAGGCCCUGCUUGCAGGGUACUCGAGUGGCGAACGGGUGAGUAACACGUGGGUGAUCUGCCCUGAACUUCGGGAUAAGCCUGGGAAACUGGGUCUAAUACCGGAAAGGAGCCAUUUUUAGGGUGAGGGUUGGAAAGUUUUUUCGGUGUAGGAUGAGCUCGCGGCCUAUCAGCUUGUUGGUGGGGUAAUGGCCUACCAAGGCGGCGACGGGUAGCCGGCCUGAGAGGGUGGACGGCCACAUUGGGACUGAGAUACGGCCCAGACUCCUACGGGAGGCAGCAGUGGGGAAUAUUGCACAAUGGGCGCAAGCCUGAUGCAGCGACGCCGCGUGGGGGAUGACGGCCUUCGGGUUGUAAACUCCUUUCGCUAGGGACGAAGCUUUUUGUGACGGUACCUAGAUAAGAAGCACCGGCUAACUACGUG